UGCAAGUCGAACGUGAUCCGCCCUUCGGGGUGGUGAAAGUGGCGCACGGGUGAGUAACGCGUGGAUAAUCUGCCCGAGGAUUUGGGAUAACAUCUCGAAAGGGGUGCUAAUACCGAAUAAGCCCACGGGGUCUACGGAUCUUGCGGGAAAAGGGGGGGACCUUCGGGCCUCCUGUCCUUGGAUGAGUCUGCGUACCAUUAGCUAGUUGGUGGGGUAAUGGCCUACCAAGGCGACGAUGGUUAGCUGGUCUGAGAGGAUGAUCAGCCACACUGGAACUGAGACACGGUCCAGACUCCUACGGGAGGCAGCAGUGGGGAAUUUUGCGCAAUGGGGGAAACCCUGACGCAGCAACGCCGCGUGGGUGAUGAAGGCCUUCGGGUCGUAAAGCUCUGUCUGGAGGGAAGAAAUGAUUGGGAGCUAAUACCUCUUGAUCUUGACGGUACCUCUGAAGGAAGCACCGGCUAACUCCGUGCCAGCAGCCGCGGUAAUACGGAGGGUGCAAGCGUUGUUCGGAAUUAUUG
rnacentral:rRNA from 1 species